GGGAAAUGGGAACAGGGCUUGGGAAAAGAGCCAUCCCAAGCCCAAAGCCAAGUAGGCUCA
rfam:Felis catus isolate Cinnamon breed Abyssinian chromosome X, whole genome shotgun sequence.